rnacentral:rRNA from 1 species
CUAUGCGCCUUGCCAGCCCGCUCAGGUGUGCCAGCAGCGCGGUAAUACAGAGGUCUCAAGCGUUGUUCGGAAUCACUGGGCGUAAAGCGUGCGUAGGCGGUUUCGUAAGUCGUGUGUGAAAGGCGGGGGCUCAACCCCCGGACUGCACAUGAUACUGCGAGACUAGAGUAAUGGAGGGGGAACCGGAAUUCUCGGUGUAGCAGUGAAAUGCGUAGAUAUCGAGAGGAACACUCGUGGCGAAGGCGGGUUCCUGGACAUUAACUGACGCUGAGCACGAAGGCCAGGGAGCGAAAGGG